rnacentral:rRNA from 1 species
UACAGGGGGUGCAAACGUUGCUCGGAAUCAUUGGGCGUAAAGCGCACGUAGGCGGUUUGUUAUGUCGGAUGUGAAAGCCCUUGGCUCAACUGAGGAAGUGCAUCCGAAACUGGCAAGCUAGAGUACUAAAGAGGGUCGCGGAAUUCCCGGUGUAGAGGUGAAAUUCGUAGAUAUCGGGAGGAACACCGGUGGCGAAGGCGGCGACCUGGGUAGAUACUGACGCUGAGGCGCGAAAGCGUGGGGAGCAAACAGG